GACGAACGCUGGCGGCGUGCUUAACACAUGCAAGUCGAACGGAAAGGCCCUGCUUUUGUGGGGUGCUCGAGUGGCGAACGGGUGAGUAACACGUGAGUAACCUGCCCUUGACUUUGGGAUAACUUCAGGAAACUGGGGCUAAUACCGGAUAGGAGCUCCUGCUGCAUGGUGGGGGUUGGAAAGUUUCGGCGGUUGGGGAUGGACUCGCGGCUUAUCAGCUUGUUGGUUGGGUAGUGGCUUACCAAGGCUUUGACGGGUAGCCGGCCUGAGAGGGUGAACGGACCAAUUGGGACUGAGAUACGGCCCAGACCACUACGGGAGGGCGCAGUGGGGUAUAGUGCACAAUGGGAGGAAGCCUGACGCAGCAAAGCCGGGGGGGGGAUGACGGCCUUCGGGUUGUAAACCGCUUUCGCCUGUGACGAAGCGUGAGUGACGGUAAUGGGUAAAGAAGCACCGGCUAACUACGUG
rnacentral:rRNA from 1 species